CCCCCUCAGAGCAAUGGAGCAGUGUCUGCCUGGUACUGAACCUUCCUCUCUUACCACCUCCCAGUGAGCUAGCCUUAGAGAGGGCAUCUAGGGGCCAGUGGGAUCGAUCAUCACUGGACCUCAGAAGAGGCUUGUUCAUGGAGCCUAACCCAAGUGGCCUGGGAUGCUCUGCCUCCAUGAUGCAUAUUCAGUAGAUACCUCAUAUCUCCUGAAAGAGAAUGGAUUCCUGGAGCUAUGAUGAGAAGUCCAUUGGAUGGCAUGGUUAUUGAGCAAAGUUGAUGUAUAUAAGAGAAGGGAGAGAAGCCACCAGCAAAAUGAAGCCAACAGGUAGAGUCUCAGUUGAAGCUCCUUGAACUUUCGAUCUUCCUGCUUCAGCCUCCUGAAUUGUUGGGAUUACAGGAAAGACUUCAGGGAAGCCAGAAACAAGUUGCAAGAAUGAAUGACCAGAUAAGGUAGGUGUGUGUGUGUGUGUGUGUGUGUGUGGUAUUGGGGUUUGAACCCAGGGACGCUCUACUGGCUACAUUCCUGGCUCUUUAUUUUAUUUUAUUAUUAAUUUUUUUAGAUGUUUAUAGACCUUUAUUUUAUUUUUAUAUGCGGUAGUGAGAUUCGAACCCAUUGCCUCACACAUGCAAGGCAGUGUGCUACCUCUGAGCCUGAGCCCCAGCCCCCUUUAUUUAAUUUUUAAUUUUCUUUUUUUGAUGCUAGGGAUUGAACCCAGGGCUUUUUGCAUGUGAGGCAAGCACUCUACCAUCUGAGCUAUAUCCUCAGCCCUUUAUUUUUAAGACAAGGUCUAAGUUGCCCAGGCUGGUCUUGAACUUGUGAUCCUCCUGCUUCAAUCCCUGAAGUGUGGGAUUAUAGGUGUGUAACUCUAUGCCUGGCUAGAUAAGGCUCUUGAAAGCUGGUUUGUGGCUCCUGGGAGUUCACAUGCUCAGGUACUCCCCUGUAGAAUGGACUGCUGAGUCUAGGAAGUGAGUACUCUGAGCAAACAGGAGCACUGAGGGAUAGUGUACUGCCAGACAGACAGACCAGUCUGCAGAGUGGGCAGUCAGGAAACUUCCCCAAGCAAUAUGGGAAACUUCUCAUCAUCAUGACAUUUUCCCUGGUGUUAAUAAUUUUAACUUAGUU